rnacentral:rRNA from 1 species
AGAGUUUGAUCCUGGCUCAGGACGAACGCUGGCGGCGCGCCUAACACAUGCAAGUCGAACGAGCGAGAGAGAGCUUGCUUUCUCAAGCGAGUGGCGAACGGGUGAGUAACGCGUGAGGAACCUGCCUCAAAGAGGGGGACAACAGUUGGAAACGACUGCUAAUACCGCAUAAGCCCACAGCUCGGCAUCGAGCAGAGGGAAAAGGAGCAAUCCGCUUUGAGAUGGCCUCGCGUCCGAUUAGCUAGUUGGUGAGGUAAUGGCCCACCAAGGCGACGAUCGGUAGCCGGACUGAGAGGUUGAACGGCCACAUUGGGACUGAGACACGGCCCAGACUCCUACGGGAGGCAGCAGUGGGGAAUAUUGCACAAUGGGGGAAACCCUGAUGCAGCGACGCCGCGUGGAGGAAGAAGGUCUUCGGAUUGUAAACUCCUGUUGUUGAGGAAGAUAAUGACGGUACUCAACAAGGAAGUGACGGCUAACUACGUGCCAGCAGCCGCGGUAAAACGUAGGUCACAAGCGUUGUCCGGAAUUACUGGGUGUAAAGGGAGCGCAGGCGGGAAGACAAGUUGGAAGUGAAAUCUAUGGGCUCAACCCAUAAACUGCUUUCAAAACUGUUUUUCUUGAGUAGUGCAGAGGUAGGCGGAAUUCCCGGUGUAGCGGUGGAAUGCGUAGAUAUCGGGAGGAACACCAGUGGCGAAGGCGGCCUACUGGGCACCAACUGACGCUGAGGCUCGAAAGUGUGGGUAGCAAACAGGAUUAGAUACCCUGGUAGUCCACACCGUAAACGAUGAUUACUAGGUGUUGGAGGAUUGACCCCUUCAGUGCCGCAGUUAACACAAUAAGUAAUCCACCUGGGGAGUACGACCGCAAGGUUGAAACUCAAAGGAAUUGACGGGGGCCCGCACAAGCAGUGGAGUAUGUGGUUUAAUUCGACGCAACGCGAAGAACCUUACCAAGUCUUGACAUCCUGCGACGCACAUAGAAAUAUGUGUUUCCUUCGGGACGCAGGGACAGGUGGUGCAUGGUUGUCGUCAGCUCGUGUCGUGAGAUGUUGGGUUAAGUCCCGCAACGAGCGCAACCCUUACUGUCAGUUACUACGCAAGAGGACUCUGGCAGGACUGCCGUUGACAAAACGGAGGAAGGUGGGGAUGACGUCAAAUCAUCAUGCCCUUUAUGACUUGGGCUACACACGUACUACAAUGGCGUUAAACAAAGAGAAGCAAGACCGCGAGGUGGAGCAAAACUCAGAAACAACGUCCCAGUUCGGACUGCAGGCUGCAACUCGCCUGCACGAAGUCGGAAUUGCUAGUAAUCGUGGAUCAGCAUGCCACGGUGAAUACAUUCCCGGGCCUGUACACACCGCCCGUCA